rnacentral:rRNA from 1 species
GAUCAUGGGCUCAGGACGAACGCUGGCGGCGCGCCUAACACAUGCAAGUCGAACGAGCGAGAGAGAGCUUGCUUUCUCAAGCGAGUGGCGAACGGGUGAGUAACGCGUGAGGAACCUGCCUCAAAGAGGGGGACAACAGUUGGAAACGACUGCUAAUACCGCAUAAGCCCACAGCUCGGCAUCGAGCAGAGGGAAAAGGAGCAAUCCGCUUUGAGAUGGCCUCGCGUCCGA